AUUCUUGCCUUUGUUUUUCAUAUAGUUUACUGAAUUGUAAAUUUAAAUACUUUAUUUUAUUUUAUUUUUUAUUUUUUUGAGACAGCGUCUCCAUCUGUCAGCCAAGCUGAAGUGCAGUGGCGUGAUCACAGCUCACUGCAACCUUGAACUCCUGGAUUCAAGGGAUUCUCCCACCUCACCCUUACCAGUAGCUGGGACUACAGGAUGACAUAGCACAAAGGCCCUUGACACAUGGGGGCCCCUUGACCUCAGACUUCCCAGCCUCCAGAACGGAAACGACAGCCAUGUUUCUGGAAGCCUGUCCUCUCUGCCUGGCUACAUGGCUCCUUCCUCCCACUGUUGACCCCUGACAGAGGCUCAGGGUACAGCCGUUCCAGAUCAGCUUGAGAGGAGCUGAUGCGACUGACUUGAGAUUUCUCUCACAGCAUCCUGUAACUGGUUCAUGGGAUUCUGAGCUGUCAGCAUCUGGAUUAGCUUUUCACUCACACAUUCUGCAGUGUAAGGAAGGGGUCUUUUCAGUCAACCAACCAACCUACAAAUCAACUAACCAACUAACCAACCUACCAACCAACUAACCAACCUACCAACCAACUAACCAACCUACUAACCUACCAACCAACUA